GUCAGUGCUAUUAUCGGAACGGGUGUUUUUUCAGUAAUGACUUGGUGCAUAAAAAGGAAAGGACCUGUUUUUGUUAGUUUGUUCAAGCCUGUGGGGAUUGCCAUUGCUGCCUUUUCGAGUGUUAUCUUCCUUGGUGAAACUCUUCCAUAUUGGCAGUGUCCUAGGCGCUGUGAUAAUCGCCAUCGGAUUUUACACAGUAUUGUGGGCACAAUCCAAAGAGGAAAACGCAAAAGGCCUCCAAGUUGAUGGACAAUCAUUGCCAUCUUCUGAAGCUAGUCCUCUACUGGAGACAAUAACUUAGAAGUGUUUUAGCAUAACCAUUUACUCGUGUAUAUUAGUUUACCUUCAUAGAUGGAUUCAACAUAAACGGGUGUGGUGAAAGAAUCUUUGUCUUUCAGCAGAGUUCUUCACCAACCAAUAUAUAUAGUUAUUUUCUGCAUUGACUGCUCUGGUGUAUAUUGCAUUGGUGAAAGUAAUAAAAACUCUUUACAUUUGAUCUGUUCCUUCAUAAAUUAAAACAGGACAGUGUUUCAAAGAUAA